rnacentral:rRNA from 1 species
GAUGAACGCUGGCGGCGUGCCUAAUACAUGCAAGUCGAGCGAACGGACGAGAAGCUUGCUUCUCUGAUGUUAGCGGCGGACGGGUGAGUAACACGUGGAUAACCUACCUAUAAGACUGGGAUAACUUCGGGAAACCGGAGCUAAUACCGGAUAAUAUUUUGAACCGCAUGGUUCAAAAGUGAAAGACGGUCUUGCUGUCACUUAUAGAUGGAUCCGCGCUGCAUUAGCUAGUUGGUAAGGUAACGGCUUACCAAGGCAACGAUGCAUAGCCGACCUGAGAGGGUGUACGGCCACACUGGAACUGAGACACGGUCCAGACUCCUACAGGAGGCAGCAGUAGGGAAUCUUCCGCAAUGGGCGGAAGCCUGACGGAGCAACGCCGCGUGAGUGAUGAAGGUCUUCGGAUCGUAAAACUCUGUUAUUAGGGAAGAACAUAUGUGUAAGUAACUGUGCACAUCUUGACGGUACCUAAUCAGAAAGCCACGGCUAACUACGUG